AGGACGAACGCUGGCGGCGUGCUUAACACAUGCAAGUCGAGCGGAAAGGCCCUUCGGGGUACUCGAGCGGCGAACGGGUGAGUAACACGUGAGCAACCUGCCCUUAGCUCCGGGAUAGCUCCGGGAAACCGGAAUUAAUACCGGAUAUGACCUAGGCCGACAUCGGCUGUGGUGGAAAGUUUUUCGGUCUGGGAUGGGCUCGCGGCCUAUCAGCUUGUUGGUGAGGUAGUGGCUCACCAAGGCGACGACGGGUA
rnacentral:rRNA from 1 species